AGCAGCCGCGGUAAUUCCAGCUCCAAUAGCGUAUAUUAAAGUUGUUGCAGUUAAAAAGCUCGUAGUUGAAUUUCGGGGCCAGUAGGUUGGUCGUGCCACUGGUAUGCACUGGCCUCACUGGUCCCUCCUUCUUGUAGAACCGUGAUGGCAUUAAUUUGUUGUUGCGGGGAAACAGGACUGUUACUUUGAAAAAUUAGAGUGCUUAAAGCAGGCUCGCGCUUGAAUACAUUAGCAUGGAAUAACGAAAUAGGACGAUCGAACCUAUUUUGUUGGUUUCUAGGAUCGACGUAAUGAUUAAUAGGGAUAGUUGGGGGCAUUAGUAUUCAAUUGUCAGAGGUGAAAUUCUUGGAUUUAUUGAAGACUAACUACUGCGAAAGCAUUUGCCAAGGAUGUUUUCAUUAAUCAAGAACGAAAGUUAGGGGAUCGAAGACGAUCAGAUACCGUCGUAGU
rnacentral:rRNA from 1 species